rnacentral:rRNA from 1 species
UACGUAGGGUGCAAGCGUUAAUCGGAAUUACUGGGCGUAAAGCGUGCGCAGGCGGUUUUUCAAGACAGAUGUGAAAUCCCCGGGCUUAACCUGGGAAUGGCAUUUGUGACUGGAAGGCUAGAGUGUGUCAGAGGGGGGUAGAAUUCCACGUGUAGCAGUGAAAUGCGUAGAGAUGUGGAGGAAUACCGAUGGCGAAGGCAGCCCCCUGGGAUAACACUGACGCUCAUGCACGAAAGCGUGGGGAGCAAACAUG